rnacentral:rRNA from 1 species
AUGGCGUUCACGCGCCUGGAGCUGCGAUGCCCCAGGGCACUCGACCCCCGCCCGAGCUGGACCCUCGGCGAGGUCCUCACCGAGCUCGACGCACUCGAAGCCACCCGCCGCGCCACGCCCCCCACGCCCCUCAAGCAGCAGCCGGAGUGGGCUAGCGGUGGCAGCGCAAGGAAGAAGGCCUUUGUGAUGCGGAUUGAGGAGGAAGACGACACGGACGAGGAAGACGAUAACGAUAAUGAGGCUGCCCGGGCUCUUGUGACCGGAGCCAGGUUCUCAUGUAAUGAUCUCGAAUGCAGCAGCUUUGAAGAAUCAGGGGAUGAAAUAGAAUGCGGCAGUACAUCAUACCACCUGAUGGAGAAAAGGAGCAUAGAGAAAAGCAUUCUGCUUGAGCUGGAACGCGAUCAUCAUCUCAAAAUUCAAGAGGAAGUUAGAAGUAAGUUAUCUUCAUUGGAGGUAUGCCACCAAAACGAAAUCCAGAGAGCAAUCUCUGCAUUUGCUCGACUUCAGAAAUAUGCAGAAUCACGAAAAGAGAUAGAUAGAAGGCUAGAUGUCCAAUUCCAGAGAAAAAUUGCAGAAGUACUCGAUAAACACUUAUCUAUGGUCCAAAGGGAUCAUGAACAGAAAUCCCAGAUUGUGGAACGUAGAAUAAGAGAUGAUGCGGCUGUUGAAGAAGCUAAAAGAAGGGAGCAAUCUAUGAAGGAAGAAAAAAUAAAACAGGAAAGGGCCAGACAAGAAGCAGAGGCCAGGCAGAAGGCAACUGCAAAAUUAGCAGCUGAUGCACAGAAAGCAGCAUAUGAAGCUGCUCAAAAGGAAGCUGCAGAAAAGGAAGCUGCUAAAUCGAGGGCAGAAGCAGUUUCCACAUCUAGCCAAAUUCCUCAGAACAGUGUCGCCCAUGCAACAAUGGCAACCAGUACUGAAAUCAAAUCAGAAUUACCAGGAAUAAAAAUUUAUGCUGAUAGUUCUGCAUUAGAAGCGGAAUCACGGAGGCGCACAUUACAUGACCAAGUGCCAUCAAACAUUUACCUCAGCAAGGAAUAUAGCCGAUAUGACCGACAAAUUGGAAAGUCUAUCAGUAAACUUAUGCCAACUACUGACAGUGUCAAAGCCAGGGCUAGUGAGCUUAUUAAAGCUUUAGAUGGACAAGAUUGUCCUCGUCCAAUCGCUUGUCGUUUAUUUGCAGACAAGAUGAUUUCAAUAGUCAAAAGUCGGAAUCCGACGGACAAGACCUUUGGAAAAUUAGCCUUUGCUUGUGGAUAUGUCAUGCUACUGGUCACUAAUCAGGUACCAGAUGCAAUGGAUUAUCUUCUGGCCGAGUUCAACAAAGUUUGCAUGUACACAGUCCCAAAGCAUCUGCAUGCUUUAAAUGCACAAGCACGAAACACAGAUUACUUCAGGCUUAUUGGCUACCAGGAAGAAGAUGGAAAACUUCAGAGCACUGAGAAGUAUUUGGUAAAUGUUGUUGCAUACGUCAAACUGUAUGCUGCCAUGGUUCAGACAGAAAUCAAAGGUGUGCGGCAUCCACAUGGCUUAGCUGAGGGAUGGAAAUGGCUUGCAAUGUUCCUCAAUACUCUUCCAGCAAUCCCAGCCACUGCUUUUGCCCUUCAUGCUUUCCUCAAGGUGGCUGGUUUUGCGCUUCACAAGAAAUAUGGAUCACAGUUCAUGAAAAUUCUAGAUGUAAUAUCGCGGCACUUCAUACCAGCUUUGAAAGCACAAGGUUCGAAAGUUCAUCCAGAGGCUAUCAAUAAUCUACAGAAUUAUCUGAAUGACAAAAUUUAUCUGGAGGAGCCAGAAGGGCAGUACCUCGCCCAGCAGCUGCUAUCGAAAAUGUUCUUGUGA